rnacentral:rRNA from 1 species
UACAGAGGUGGCAAGCGUUGUUCGGAAUUACUGGGCGUAAAGGGCGCGUAGGCGGCCUUCUAAGUCAGACGUGAAAUCCCUCGGCUUAACCGGGGAACUGCGUCUGAUACUGGAUGGCUUGAGUUUGGGAGAGGGAUGCGGAAUUCCAGGUGUAGCGGUGAAAUGCGCAGAUAUCAGGAAGAACACCCGUGGCGAAGGCGGCUCUCUGGGACGGUACUGACGCUGAGACGCGAAAGCGUGGGGAGCGAACAGG